rnacentral:rRNA from 1 species
GGUGAGUAAUGUCUGGGGAUCUGCCCGGUAGAGGGGGAUAACCACUGGAAACGGUGGCUAAUACCGCAUAAUGUCGCAAGACCAAAGUGGGGGACCUUCGGGCCUCACACUACCGGAUGAACCCAGAUGGGAUUAGCUAGUUGGUGGGGUAACGGCUCACCAAGGCGACGAUCCCUAGCUGGUCUGAGAGGAUGACCAGCCACACUGGAACUGAGACACGGUCCAGACUCCUACGGGAGGCAGCAGUGGGGAAUAUUGCACAAUGGGCGCAAGCCUGAUGCAGCCAUGCCGCGUGUAUGAAGAAGGCCUUCGGGUUGUAAAGUACUUUCAGCGGGGAGGAAGGGAGUGAGGUUAAUAACUUCAUUCAUUGACGUUACCCGCAGAAGAAGCACCGGCUAACUCCGUGCCAGCAGCCGCGGUAAUACGGAGGGUGCAAGCGUUAAUCGGAAUUACUGGGCGUAAAGCGCACGCAGGCGGUCUGUUAAGUCAGAUGUGAAAUCCCCGGGCUCAACCCGGGAACUGCAUUUGAAACUGGCAGGCUUGAGUCUCGUAGAGGGGGGUGGAAUUCCAGGUGUAGCGGUGAAAUGCGUAGAGAUCUGGAGGAAUACCGGUGGCGAAGGCGGCCCCCUGGACGAAGACUGACGCUCAGGUGCGAAAGCGUGGGGAGCAAACAGGAUUAG